GAAAUUUCCGGCAAUGGCCGAAACUAACGUUGCAUGAUUUUUGAACUUUCUUCUUAAUUGAACCGGCGUGGCAGUCAGACGUUUAAAUAUAUAUACGCGGCGGAACGAAUUUAGCUAAAAGUGGUUUUCCCAAGUAACAAAUCAAGGAAGCUGAAAUUCUACGAUUCCCGAUACGGCCGCCAAGGCAAACCAGCAGCGCGAGUGCAUUUGCAAGGUGCCCAGCUUGUCUUCAUCCGAUGUCCAGGGGAGUACCCACGUCGGCCGGCAGUCCUAAACUGCCCUGAGGAGCACCCACAUUGACCAGCGAUUCUGAGUUGCCCUUAGGAGCACCUGCAUCGGCCACCAAUCCAAGUUGCGCAGAGGAAAUCCCCUUUGGUCAGCGAUCUGCAGUUGCCUUGGGGAGCACCCCUAUUUGUCCAGCGAUCUGCAGUUGCCUUGGGGAGCACCCCUUUUUGUUCAGCCUUCGGAGUUCCCCCUAUUUGCUCAGCGAUCAGUAGUUGCAGCAGGGAGCACCCUUAUUACAGCUCGUCGAGGAAUUUCCUCGGCCAUAUAGUCCCGUGAAUUGCGAAAGCCUGCCCAACUAGAUCGGCCCUAACCCAAAUCUUCAACAUGUGAAAUCUACCGCUUGGGCAUCGAUCUUAACCUUAUUUGUAACCUCUAAACUAUCAAGCUGGCGAGAAAAAUUCCACAUGUAUAAAAGUAAACAAGGCUACACUGGGAGAAUUUACAAAGAGAAUUUCCUUUUUGAUAAAUUAAAUGAUUUAAAAAUAAAA